rnacentral:rRNA from 1 species
AGAGUUUGAUCCUGGCUCAGGACGAACGCUGGCGGCGUGCCUAACACAUGCAAGUCGAGCGAGGUGUAUACACCUAGCGGCGGACGGGUGAGUAACACGUGGGUGACCUGCCUCAAAGUGGGGAAUAGCCUCUCGAAAGGGAGAUUAAUACCGCAUAACAUACGCAUAUUUAACGCUGCGUAUCAAAGGAGAAAUCCGCUUUGAGAUGGGCCCGCGGCGCAUUAGCUAGUUGGUGGGGUAACGGCUCACCAAGGCGACGAUCAGUAGCCGACCUGAGAGGGUGAUCGGCCACACUGGAACUGAGACACGGUCCAGACUCCUACGGGAGGCAGCAGUGGGGAAUAUUGCACAAUGGGCGCAAGCCUGAUGCAGCAACGCCGCGUGAGUGAAGAAGGCCCUCGGGUAGUAAAACUCUGUCCUAUGGGAAGAAAAAGAUGACGGUACCAUAGGAGGAAGCCCCGGCUAACUACGUGCCAGCAGCCGCGGUAAUACGUAGGGGGCAAGCGUAUCCGGAAUCACUGGGCGUAAAGGGUGCGUAGGUGGCUCAUCAAGUCAGGGGUGAAAGGCAUUGGCUCAACCAAUGUAAGCCUUUGAAACUGAUGGGCUUGAGUGCAGGAGAGGUAAGUGGAAUUCCUAGUGUAGAGGUGAAAUUCGUAGAUAUUAGGAGGAACACCAGUGGCGAAGGCGACUUACUGGACUGUAACUGACACUGAGGCACGAAAGCGUGGGUAGCGAACAGGAUUAGAUACCCUGGUAGUCCACGCCGUAAACGAUGAACACUAGGUGUCGGGGGAAUCGACCCCCUCGGUGUCGUAGCCAACGCGUUAAGUGUUCCGCCUGGGGAGUACGCACGCAAGUGUGAAACUCAAGGAAUUGACGGGGGCCCGCACAGCGGUGGAGUAUGUGGUUUAAUUCGAUGCACGCGAGACUUACCAGGGUUUGACAUCCUGCGAUCUCCUGAAACGGGGGAGUGCCUUCGGGACGCAGUGACAGGUGUGCAUGGCUGUCGUCAGCUCGUGUCGUGAGAUGUUGGGUUAAGUCCCGCAACGAGCGCAACCCACGUCUUUAGUUGCCAGCAUUUAGUUGGGCACUCUAGAGAGACCGCCGGUGAUAAACCGGAGGAAGGUGUGGAUGACGUCAAGUCAUCAUGCCCCUUACAUCCUGGGCUACACACGUACUACAAUGCUACGGACAAAGGGCAGCAAACUCGCGAGAGCUAGCAAAUCCCAUAAACCGUGGCUCAGUUCAGAUCGUAGGCUGCAACUCGCCUACGUGAAGGAGGAAUCGCUAGUAAUCGCAGGUCAGCAUACUGCGGUGAAUACGUUCCCGGGCCUUGUACACACCGCCCGUCACACCAUGGAAGUUGGCCAUGCCCGAAGCCGUUACUCCAACCCUUGUGGAGGAGGACGUCGAAGGUGGGGCUGAUGACUGGGGUGAAGUCGUAACAAGGUAACC